rnacentral:misc_RNA from 1 species
UGACCACUCAAGCCUAGCUUGGUAUUGGGGUUCGCGGUCUCGCGGCUCCUAAAUCCGUGGCGGUGCCGUCUGGCUCUAAGUGUAGUAAUUUUCUCGCUAUAGAGUCCGGUUGGUUGCUUGCCAAAACCCCAACUUCUCAC